GUGGCUUCCAGGAUUGCUUGGUUUGCUGUGAAAUGCGCGAACUUGGCAUAAGGCGAGAGCUCUUGCAUUACAUGGAAGGCAGAUAUACUGUCGACCGUUUGCUUGAAACCAAGCUCAUGCAUUGUUUCAGAAGUAUUGGUGAUGAUACUCCUGUAGUGCAGGCCUUGAGUAAAGAACAAAGCUAGCCUAUUGAAUGAGUUGCCUUCAUUUUCUCCUUCAAAUAAGAGAUCUCUGAGCUUCAAAAUUAUAGUGGAAGAGAAAGUCCAGUUUUGUGCUUCAACAGCUUCUGCUCCCAUCAGUAGAAGAUCUGCUAAGCUGCUUUCCUCCAUUAGCUCUUCUUGAAUUCCUUUUAGCAUUGAAUUUUCUUCUCUCAGUUUACUCAUAUUUUCUUGUGUUUCUUGGUUCAUGUGACGGCUCAAUUCAGACAUGUAAAGAAAG
rnacentral:misc_RNA from 1 species